rnacentral:rRNA from 1 species
UACAGAGGUGGCAAGCGUUGUUCGGAAUUACUGGGCGUAAAGGGCGCGUAGGCGGCCAUCUAAGUCAGACGUGAAAUCCCCCGGCUUAACCUGGGAACUGCGUCUGAUACUGGACGGCUCGAGUUUGGGAGAGGGAUGUGGAAUUCCAGGUGUAGCGGUGAAAUGCGUAGAUAUCUGGAGGAACACCGGUGGCGAAGGCGGCAUCCUGGACCAACACUGACGCUGAGGCGCGAAAGCUAGGGGAGCAAAC